UCAGCCGGCGUUGUAUCGAUUUGAUAAAGAUGGAAACCAGUAGAAGGAACGAGGUGCUGGAUCCGUUAGGUUUUUGAAGCAUAAGAAGACUGAAAAAGUUCGUUUGGUUAUGCGUCAAUCGAAAACCCUAAAGAUCUGUGCUAAUCAUUUAGUUAUUCCUACUAUGUCUGUUCAAGAGCAUGCUGGUAAUGAUAAGUCAUGUGUGUGGCAUGCUGCUGAUUUUGCUGAUGGUGAACUUAAGAAUGAACUGUUUUGUAUCAGGUUUGCUUCA